GCCCGGGUGGCCAAACGGCAAAGGCCGCGCUCUUAAAAAGCGCCGCCCGCAAGGGCUUGCGGGUUCGACUCCCGUCCCGGGCA
rnacentral:tRNA from 1 species